rnacentral:rRNA from 2 species
UCCAGAUAAAAUAUUAGAAGUUAAACCUGCCCAGUGACUCUUUCAACGGCCGCGGUACCCUAACCGUGCAAAGGUAGCAUAAUCAUUUGCCUUCUAAUUAAAGGAUAGUAUGAAAGGAAAAACGAAAUUUUACCUAUAUUAUUAUUAUUACUAUAAAUUAUACUUCAAGUGAAGAUACUUGAAUUUAUUUGAAAGACAAGAAGACCCUAUAGAAUUUUAAAAAUAAAAAAUUUCUAUUUUCGCCUAUUCUUUUUGUUGGGGCGACCAAAGAUUAAACAAAACAUCUUUAACAUAUUAAAAUUAUCCUUUUUAACAUAGAUCCUACUUAUAGAUCGACAAAAUAAAUUACCUUAGGGAUAACAGGCUAAUCUUCUUUUAGAGUUCAAAUCGACAAGAAGGUUUGGCACCUCGAUGUUGGCUUAGAGAACCGAAUUGCUGCAACAAGUAAUUAAGGUAGUUUGUUCAACUAAUAAUCCUCU